CGCUUGUCUUUGAAUCAAACUGUUUUUUCAAAGUGGAUGCUUUUGGAUUCUUCCUGACGUGGAAAAGUGAGGGAAAGGAGGGUCAAGUUUUAGAGUUUUCCCUUAUCAACAGCAUACGAGAUACCAGUGUGCCAAAGGACCCAAAGAUCCUCUCGGCGUUGGAGGCCGCGGGAAAAUGUGAGAGUAACCUGGAGGACAGAAUCAUCUGCAUAUGCAGC